CCAUGCAGUCGAACGAUAACCUGGUGCUUGCACCAGGGGACAGUGGCGAACGGGUGAGUAACACGUGAGAAACCUGCCCUAAAGACCGGGACAACCAUUGGAAACGAUGGCUAAUACCGGAUGCCCUCACAUGACCGCAUGGUCGAGUGAGGAAACGCUCAGGUGCUUUAGGAGGGUCUCGCGGCCUAUCAGCUAGUUGGUGAGGUAAUGGCUCACCAAGGCAUCGACGGGUAGCUGGUCUGAGAGGACGAUCAGCCACACUGGGACUGAGACACGGCCCAGACUCCUACGGGAGGCAGCAGUGGGGAAUCUUGCGCAAUGGGCGAAAGCCUGACGCAGCAACGCCGCGUGAGGGAUGACGGCUUUCGGGUUGUAAACCUCUUUCAGUGAUGACGAAAAUGACGGUAAUCACAGAAGAAGCUCCGGCCAACUACGUGCCAGCAGCCGCGGUAACACGUAGGGAGCAAGCAUUGUCCGGAUUUAUUGGGCGUAAAGAGCUCGUAGGCGGUUUCGUAAGUCUGAUGUGAAAACUCAGGGCUCAACCCUGAGACGCCAUCUGAUACUGCGAUGACUAGAGUCCGGUAGGGGAGCAUGGAAUUCCUGGUGUAGCGGU
rnacentral:rRNA from 1 species